UUCGUCAGCUUAAUGUAGAAAUUAUUUCAUGUCCUGGUCCCUAGUUUUUGGCAAUGUUUCUUGAAAUGGUAAAUAUUAUUGAUGCCAAAACUCAAAACUAGCACUAAGAAAGUGCUGUGAUUACAUCCAAAAAGAGCAAAAGAAAAGUGAACCCUCGCUACCUAGACAGUAUCUAUGAACUAUAACAGGGUUUCAGCAUCCUCAACUAUAUCCAUUUUGCACCAGCAAGAGACUGUAAAUAUAAAAUCAGAUUUGAGUUUCCAGAUUGAGCUCUUUCGUCCAUCAAAAUAUCUUCUAUUCCUGUCCUUCCAGAUACUCCAUCAUAUGCUAGCAGGUAUGGUGUUCCAUGCCUUCUUUAAGUGUUUGAGGAGUCCAUAUCUACUUCAGAAUCUGUUGUCGACCAAUUCAGACCCCGGUAGUUAAGAAAUAUAUGUCAAACUUGUGAAGUAUAAGAGCAAUGCAAGAACAGAUGACUGUUGCUUUCUUGAUUUUCCUCACACAAGAAACAUCUGUUUACUAACUGUAUACCUUUUUUUUUUGUAGGUUCUCUAGAGUUAGACAAGCUUCCUUGAUGACAAGCCAUUUAAAACUCAUUACUUUGACAGGAGCUCUGGAAUUCCAUAUCUGUUUCUAAGGACCAACAUUAAUCUGAUUCCCAGCAUUCGGUUAAACCUUAUGGAGUAGCAUUCUCUUUAUUGAGAGGAAGGUAUUUUUGCCAUGUUGGACUACCUGGGUGGACUGCCAUGUCAGCUCUAAUAGCAAAGAUAAUGUUUUAAGGCUAUUUGUGUUCCAAAACAUAGACGACAAGGGUGGUUUUGAUUCCAAACAUAUUUAAAGGGUAUAUAUGAGCUAUUUCGAAUAGUUCGAGGGUGAUUUUGACCCUUUUCCGUUAACUUUUUACUGCUUUUGUUAAUGUAGAGUUCAAGAAAGCAAAAAAUAAAAUAAAAAUCUUGUAGAAUGUUUUUGUUUUUGUUUUAUUUUGAGGUUAGCAUGGUUAGUAAGACGA
rnacentral:lncRNA from 1 species